GCUGGGUGAUAUUGACAGAAG
rnacentral:miRNA from 1 species